AGAGGGCACGCACCGGGACGGGUGAGGGGCAGGCCACCACACUCCGGGGGCAGAGGAGGCGGCUCCUGGAGGUGGACGGAUGGCUCGUGGCUGUGGCGAGCUCCCUGAUGCGUGGGCCCUGCGGCCCCGUCGAUGCGCAUCAGGAGGAGGGGGGACGGCAGUAGCCGGCAUGGACCUCCCCAGGGCCCCCCUCGGGCCGAGCACUCGACCCACACCAGCCUGUUCAGUCCUCAGAGCUGUCUGGGCUGCAGAAGGGAAACUGAGGCCCAUGAAGGUCACACACACAGUUUGUGGGCAGAACCCGGGUGCGGUCAGCAGAAAAGUGUCCUCCCAAAGACGCCGGCGUCCCCACCCCGGGGGCCUGUGUUCGUGUCACCCUCCAUGGCAAAAGGGCCUUGAGAUGGAGGCGUGAUCCUGGGAGGCCUGGGGGGACCUCUAAAUGUCACCAUGAGCGUCCGUAAAAGGGUCAGAGAGGAAGACACGAUGGUGUGGAGCAGAGGCCAGACAGGAGGGACACUGGAUGGGGCUCUGCCAGCGGCUGGGAGGGUGGAGGAGGGGCCACGAGCCAGAAAGCGCAGGCGGUCCCGGAUCCCGGAAAAGGCCAGAAAACGCACUCUCCUUCAGAGCCUCCAGGAGGGACCAGCCCUUCCGACGCACUGAUUCCGGCCCACGGAGACGGAUCUGGGACUCCCGACCUCUCGAACUGUCAGAUAACACGUUUCGUGGGUCUAAAGCCACUAAGUUUGGGCUUGCUGCUGCGGCAAAGGGAAAUGGUGCAUCUGGAUUAGCCCCAGCACCGACCCGAAGGGAUCGACACCCUGUAACUUAACCCGUUUGUAAAGCAGUUAUCCUUACGCUUUAUAGGCUUAAAACAAGGGACACACCUCUAUUCUCACGCCUCUGGCACGCAUCAGCAGGUGGUGUGGGGGGCGUGCUCCUCCAACCCACACGCUGAGUUUCUCUGAGUGUGAAUUAUACCCUGUUUUCUGCACGGGCUUCCCCGAUCCACCCACACAGCCACUUGUAUGGGGACCACUGGCCGCAGGUUGGACUGAGAACGGUUCCUCUCCCUACUCGCCCCACAGGAUCCAGCGAAGUCAGAAUAUAAUCUGCCACGUCAAGUCACGAGGGACGACAUGAACAGGGCUGCGGGGGGAGCGUGAAUGCAGCAGACCUCCCACCACCUGGCCGUGGGAGCCCAGGCAAGGUGCUCGGCGCCCCCUCAGCCCCAGUCUCCUGGCCCUCAGGACGACCACAAAAAGAAUUCCCCGCCGAGGGGCUGCUGUGAGAAGCAGACAGCGUCUCACGGGGACAUCCGGCUCGGCACCUGGUACGUGGUGAAACGGAGCUCAGCGUGUGUGCGGAAGAAGCUUCUAGCAUGGGCGAGAGGAAGCAGCCAGCCACACGGGCGGGACCCUGCUCGCGGAAGAUCUGGGUACGCCCCGGGGUGCCUUGGACAUUCUGGAGGGAGCGGACUCAACUAAAAAGCCUCGAGAGGGACAUCCUGAACUUCCUGUGUUGGGGUGAGCUGCACCCACCCCCAAAAAAGCAUGCUCACCCACAACCCUAGAAGGUGCCCUUAUUUGGAGUAGGGUCUUUGCGGAUGUAGUUAAGGGAACUGUUCCUCGGAGUUGGGCAGACAGACCGGCUGGAUCAUCUCUGUUCCAAGGGGAAACAACAACCUUGAACUCGACUGAAGCAGAAACAACAGCCUUGAACUUGACUGAAACACUAGUCCAAGAAAACAGUUCAUCUCUCCAGCGUCUGCCUCUCCGAGGGGCUCAGACCGGCUCCCAAAGGAAGGUCAAGCCCUGGGUCGUGUUGAAAGCUACCGGCUCAGAGCAGGGACUUCCCCCGGCCAGAGCCGUAAACCUUUAAACACCCCUAAACCGUGGCACCGUGAGUGAGUCUGGACCAGGGGCUGGCAUAUUUUCUGUGAAGGGCCACAUAGUAAAUACCUGAGGCUU